UCCCGGGGGGCUAAUUCCAGGGUUGAAGCUCACGUUAGGGAGCGAGGCCGGGGCUCCCUAAAUGUUUCCAUGAGCUGUUUAUAUUGAGUUCAUGGAAAGGUGGGCACUUGUAAAUAACUUGCACAAUAGUCGUUAACGUUCACUAGGUUCUAAGAUAUACAGAAUAGAUUAUAACGAUCACUUUUUAAUGGACCAUAGAAAGUGGGCUAUAAAAGAAAGUGUAUUUUAAUUAAGAGAUUGGCUAAUUGUAAUUUAAAAUAUCCUAUUUUAUUUUUAAAUACUUCGCUAAUCGUUUCACAAAUUUCUACAAGCAUUUUUAUGUGCCAACACACUAUCUACGGCUUACGACAUACGAUAGACUGCGUUUUGGACACCUACAUUUCAUCGUAUAAAUUAAUUGUCAUUGUUUGAAUCAUUUUGAACCAUCGCACUUUGAUAUUAUGGAUUCAGGUACCGCGAGACGUUUCUUAUUUCGGUCAUUCAAUGCGCAGAGGCGAUGAGAACUCGGAGAAACUGAUCGUGGUGGUGAAACAGAAGGCAAAAGAUCACGUGGCUGUUAACCAACCAGAUGGACCGAUCAAGUGAAUGAAUCAUCGUCCUCCAUUACGGCCUAAACUUUACUUUUAACGAAUUCCAGAAAGUUCUUGUACUAAAUUCGUCUUACGACUUUUAAAGCGCGAACGCAAGAGUGCAGAAAAAAUUCGAUCCUCGCGAACCGCUACAAAUGAGUCAUACUCAGCGUAAAAUCUUAAGCAAAGCAACGCUAACAUUUGUAAUUUUUAUUAUUUUAUUGUAGUUUGGUUUUUUUUGUAGUUUUUAUUGUGUUUUUUUUUUAAUGUAGUGAACACAUCUUAUAUUUAACUAGUAUUGAGUAUUAUAUUAUUUUAACAAAGCUAUUGUAACUUACAGCAUCUAAAUUAAGUUAUUAUAAGAUACCUAAACGAAAUGAAAGCUUGACCAUUUAAUUUUUAAUUUACAUUUACAACAUUAUAUAAAUUUUCAAGUCAAAUCCUAUUAUGUACAUAAUAUUAUUAUAAUUGAAUGUAUGAUAAUUAUUUACUCGUGAUCUUCUACUAUAGUGAAAAUUUCAUUAUGUCAAAUAUGAGGCUUGUAAUGAGCCAAAAUUUAGUCGUUCGUUUACUGUGAGCUCCAACCAAACUAUCGUAAGUUAAAAAUUAAGGUUUUAUUUAUUGUUUUUUGUCCUUCGCGUCGCAACUGUGUUAAGCUCAUGCUAUAUUUACAGCUGUUAAACCAUGUAUGCAAAGCUGGAAUUAGGUAAGAUAUUUAGUCGUUAGGUAAUGAACAGAAACUUUUUAACUUACGAUAAAAAUUAAGGUUUUAUUUAUAAUUUUUUGUCCUUCGCGUCGCAACUGUGUUAAGCUCAUGCUAUAUUUACAGCUGUUAAACCAUGUAUGCAAAGCUGGAAUUAGGUAAGAUAUUUAGUCGUUAGGUAAUGAACAGAAACUUUUUAACUUACGAUAAAAAUUAAGGUUUUAUUUAUAAUUUUUUGUCCGUCGCGUCGCAACUGUGUUAAGCUCAUGCUAUAUUUACAGCUGUUAAACCAUGUAUGCAAAGCUGGAAUUAGGUAAGAUAUUUAGUCGUUAGGUAAUGAAGUUUUUUAUAUCUUUUUUGUAUUUUCUGUGAGUUUAUCUUCUAAAUUAAUCACCAAUCUUAUUAAAACUAGUAUAUAAAUUCUUCACUAGAUAUCUAAUUAAUUAAAUUUUAAAAUCACAAUUUUAAUUCGAAUGCUUAUUAUUUAAGACUGAGCAAAUUCUACUGAUAUUAACAAGUGACCUUAUAUAUGUCACCGUAAAAUUGUAAACACCGUUAGAUUGUAAUCUAUCUCGCGAAAUGGUGAACCGAAUAAUAAUACGUUAAAUCGUAAGCAGUACGUUGAGGUUCACAAUCUUUCGACAGUUUUGGUCGCAAAUGCCAGUCUAUAAUUUAAUAAUACCAUAGCAAGCUAAGCAAGAGUAAUUCACAAAUAUACAAAAAAAUCCUAUGAAACUAUUAUUGCUAUUACAAAAUUAAUUGUAAAAAAAACUAAAAUAUUGAGUCGUCCUUACAUUCCUCUACUCACCUAAUACAACGCUACGGCGUAGCGCGCAGCAUCGUAGAAUAUACGUAAAUGUCGUAGUUUAGAAAGCUUUGUGUGGCUAACAAAGAAUGUUUGUAGAAAGAAAGUAUAACAGUUAAUAUAAAUUGUCGGGCAGUUUCAAGCAACACGAUUUCUUUUUCUCUUGAUCAUUUUGUUAAUUGUGUUUAUUUAAUAUUGAUAAAUGUUUUAGUAUUAAAGCUCUAAUGAAUAUGGGAUUAUAAAUCUUUAAAAACAAUGUUAGUAACAUUGGUUUUAAUGAUUUCAUCAUUAUUGAAAUUAUUGUACCGAUCAAUAAAACGCAGUAAUGAUAUUCUAGUGUGAUUAUACAUAUACUAUGCACGAUGUGCACGUGCGUCUACUCUACUAUAGCUCCCGUAUUUUUACGUAUUAUUAAUUGUACAUACCAUAUAAUAUACUUACGUGCUGUCUUGUAUAUAAUA